CACACGUGCAGGGUUCAGUCCACGCACUCUCUGCACCUGGAACACCUGCAUCACUCGUUGGCAUUGGGUGUCAUAGCAACUGUUUCUACGGCAACCACUGAAAGCUGGAUGAUGAUGAUGAUGAUGAUCACGAGACAGCAGGGUUGAUGAUCAGUUCACAGCUGAAGAGUGAUCCACACCCACUGAUGCAAAUGUGACCUUUGACCCCUUGGUCGUAGCUUUGUAUUACAUCACUUUGUUAUAAAAGAUCCAGAGCAGAAACUCUGGUGAUGAUGAUGAUUCUUCUUAAACUGCUAUAUGUACCUUUUUUGCAGACACCAAACUGAACCUGAGGCCAGGCUCAGAACCUGCAGAGACGCGUCUACGUUGACUUCUUCAGUUCAGCCUCCUCUGCUUGUGUAGUGAGCUUUCAGCAGCAUCGUAUUUGUUUCAGUGACUAAGAAGUGGAGGCCUGCGCUGUGUGAUGGAGCGUAGCAGAGCGGGGGGGGCUCAUCCGGGCCGUCGGGUCUCUUGCUGGGUCCAGUGAUCGCUGGGCAUCCCCUCACGUCUGUAAAUGUCCGACAUUUACACCCACAGCAAACGUCAACCAGCAGGUGAAAGGUCAGGAUUCGUUCCUCUUCAGACGACGCUUUCUCACCAGGAAACUGAGCUUGACGUAAAGCUUUUAUUGUUGAACAUUUACUAAUGAGACCCGGGGUCAAGGUUGAUGGAGCUGCUGUAACGCGGGCUCCUCUGAAGCAUGCUGUUCUACCUGGCAGAGCGCAGUGCUGCUGGAGGAGCUCACGUCCUCCUGCUUGUUUAAAUGUGAAGCUCCACGACGUUACAGCCACCGUGUUCAGGGCUGUGGACAAACACAAGAUGUUAAUGCUGUUGGUUUAUUAUGAAAAACUACUUUUCCAACUGUGAUGCAAAUAAGAAGUUAUAUUUUUUAUGCUUUUCGUGUGGUCUUGUGAAAAAACUCAAAUAACUCCAGUUUGUACAGUACUUUUAACAUGUAGUGAGGCACAUUUGACUAAACGCCCUGCCGGUAGCUUCCGUUUCACGUUUCCGCCGCAGUCCUGUUCAAUCGGGACACUAUUUACCGGAGACACAGUUUGAGCAGCGCGUCUCUGAUGCCCCACAGCCUCCAGGUAUUACCGCACGCGCUCAAUGCGGAACUUUACGCAGCGCCGUUCCCGUAAACGCGCAGGUUAGCGCCGCGCUCCACGGAAGACGCCGGCCUUCGGUCACGUGACCGUUAUCUGCCCGGAUACUCCAGCGCUGGAGGAUGGAGCGCUGCAAAGCGGCCGCCAGGACGGAUCACAGCUCCUCUCCCUCCCACAUGUUAUGACUCACGCGUGAGUCACCGAACGUGCCAGUGGAACCAGGAGGUGGGUCUGACCUGAACUCACUCAGCAUCAGGUGAGUUGAGGUGUGAGGGACCUCCUCCUGACUCCUCUUGAGCCUCACCUGGUGGCGGCACGUUCUCAUCUGCCCACUGGAAGAAGCCAC